CCUACGGGUGGCAGCAGUGAGGAAUAUUGGUCAAUGGGCGGAAGCCUGAACCAGCCAAGUAGCGUGCAGGAUGACGGCCCUACGGGUUGUAAACUGCUUUUAUACGGGAAUAACGCGCCUUACGUGUAGGGCUUUGCAUGUACCGUAUGAAUAAGGACCGGCUAAUUCCGUGCCAGCAGCCGCGGUAAUACGGAAGGUCCGGGCGUUAUCCGGAUUUAUUGGGUUUAAAGGGAGCGUAGGCGGGCGUUCAAGUCAGCUGUAAAAUCGCGCGGCUCAACCGCGCCCCGCAGUUGAAACUGGACGCCUUGAGUUCACAACAGGCAGGCGGAAUUCGUGGUGUAGCGGUGAAAUGCAUAGAUAUCACGAGGAACCCCGAUUGCGAAGGCAGCCUGCCGGGGUGCGACUGACGCUGAGGCUCGAAGGUGCGGGUAUCAAACAGGAUUAGAUACCCCAGUAGUC
rnacentral:rRNA from 1 species